UGUGGUCAGUCUCCAGAGGGCCAUGACAACUCUGUCAUGCAGAGGGACAGCAGCUCGCAUACUCACACAUUUCUGUUGUUAGGCCAUUCACCAGCCAGACACACAGAAUGUCAGAAAUGUGCUUGGUCAUUUGCAGCUGUCUUAUCUGCUAACUGAUGGUUCAGGCACUUAGACCAUCAGCCUGCCAACAGGCUGAGCUCAGCCUAGCCCACAGUGUCCUCCUCAAUCUUCAGUUUGGUAAUGUAAGUGGACAACAAAUUCUGCAUGCACCUUUGCCUCCUCUUCAGACACCUAUUCAGAGCAUCCUGGGUGCUGUUAUCUCUUCUAUGCUGGUGUGCUUCCACAGCACUGGGUGACAAGUAGCAUAAUCCUGAAGAUGGAAGAUGAAGCAAUCUGCAGUGACAAAAAAGUCUCCAUGAUGGAAAAAGCCAGCAUGACCUGUGAGGAGGGGGAUUACAGGUUUUACGUAAGAAAUCCCAUAAAUCCUAAGGGAAAAAACCAAAAAUAUCCACAGCUUUGGUGUGUGCAACUGUUGCUGGGGCUCCAGGGAAUAGCAACAUUUCCCAGAAUGCUUCCCUAAGUUGCUUCCCUGGUUGGGCACUUUUAGCUGUGAACAUGAAAACACAGUUCUGAGGGCAGAAAAGCUGCGGCAUUGUCAACCUGAACCAUGUCACAUGACUGCGCCCUUAACUUAUUACAAAACAAAGAUUCCAGCUGCACUGUGGAUGGAGCCAACGCUGCUGCAUGUUGUGAAUAUGCUAUCAGGCAGAGUCGUUUACACUUCUUAUUGGAUGGAGUUGUGAAGAAAUCUAUUUGUGGAUUGCUCCAGGACAAUGUUGUACUUAUUAUAGAAGCAGCUGCUUGAAAACCAGGAGAGGAGACUGCCAAGAUUUCUGAACCUCCAUUUUUAAUACUUCUGUCUUUGUUUUCUUGAGAAUUUAUAAAGAACAUCUGGUGGGACUAAAUGAUCAUGUUCAGCACAAUCAUCAUUACUAACCAUGAAGUCUCAGAAAACCGAGGCAGAUCACAGACUCUGCAUGAACUGCCUCUGCAGCAUCAUUCUCCCCCAGGUGCCAUGGAAUCCCUGUUGAACCGAGUGAUAUGGUUGAGAUACACAUUCUCUCAUUCCCCUUUCAAACCCACAAGGAUUCCCUGCUUAUGUUAAAAAAAAAAUGGCAGACAUAUUCUUCCCUCUUAUGAAGAACCCACCCGGGCUGGGUUUUUUGAUGCAACAUGCACCAGGGGAGGCCCUGGCAACAUGGGCCAUUGAGAUCUCUCAUUGCUGCAGAGGCAUGUAAGGGGACCCUGCAUGCUCUGUAGUGGCAUAGAUCUUCCAUGCAAAUGGAGAAUACCUCCAGAGGAAAACCUGGGAUUCACAGUUUAUUCCAUAAGAAAAUCACUUGCAAAGUCUCCAAAGUCUCUACUGAAAAGGAAUACCACCAGCACAGACCACUAUUACACAAGCAACCAACACAGAUAACUAGUAUGGUCUUUGCAUCUAUCAGUCAUCAUCCUCAGAAGGCCCUCCAGGCCACAAAGAAUGCGAGAUGUAUCAUGACAUUCACUAGGUCAUGGACAGGCAACCUAUGGUAUGCGUGCUGAAGGCGGCACAUGAGCUGAUUUACAGUGGCAUUCACACGGCCUGGGCCCUGGCCACUGGUCUGAGGGCUCUGCAUUUUAAUUUAAUUUUAAAUGAAGAUUCUUAAACAUUUUAAAAACCUUAUUUACUUUACAUACAACAAUAGUUUAGUUAUAUAUUAUAGAUUUAUAGAAAAAGACCUUCUAAAAUGUUAAAAUGUAUUACGUGAAACCUUAAAUUAGAGUGAAUAAAUGGAGACUUGGCAAACCGCUUCUGAAAAGUUGCCGACCUCUGCACUAGGUGCUCCUUUCCCUAUAUGUAUCCAAGCCAUCAUGUGCUCUCACAACCAAAAUCUAGAUCCACUAUAUUGGAGAGGAAAGACUGUCUUGUGAAAUCAGGACGACUGGGCUCCAAGUCCCAGCUCUGUUACAGGCUUCCUCUGUGAUUCUGGAAAAUUAUUUAAUUUCUGUGUGACUCAAUUUGCCCAUCCAUAAAAUGAUUAGUAAAUCAAGGCAUCUCACAGGGCUUAAUUCAAUAACUUCAGUAAAGUGCUUCAAUUACUUGGAAUGGAAGACACUAUAUAUGGUUAAAUGACUAUUAUUCUACACCAAGCCACUUGCUUCUUACAGUUUGUAUAUUUGCAUAUCAGGUAUGUAACACUUUAGUAAAUCUCUGUUAAGAGAGUCCAUCUUUCUGUAAACUGUUAAACAUACGGUUAAACUUCUUGCAUUGUUUCCUACAAUUAUGACCUUUUCUACUUGCCACUGUCAUUAAGAGUUGUGACAAACAACUAAAAAGAUACCCUGUGGCAAGUCAGAAAAAUGCAAUAUCUACAAUACUGCACUUUCGAACCAAAUCAUGUACUGGCUGGGAAGGGCACAAGAGGCAGGGGUAAUUUUCUAAGUGACAAUAUACAGAAGAUAUCAGCUAGUCAGCAAAAAGAGACCUAGAAAUGUUAUCCUUAUUCAGCCUGCCCUUCCUGCCAACUCACUCAGUGAUGACACAAUCUACUGUGAGAGACACCAUAAAUUACUUACUUCAUGGUGGUGAACUGUAAUCUGUUAAACAAUGAGUUGUGGCAUCCCUGAAUGAAUCAAGAAGGAAAGCGACUGAUUACGAAGAAAAAACUUCCAUUUAGACACAACUAUCUUGGUAAUCAGCAAUGAUGAGAAUAACCAAAGAAAAACUACAUGACAGUUCGAUGGAGAUUUUGUAAAAUGCAAUGCAUUUGGAAGUUCGCUCGAGAAUAGCUAAAGCGCUUAAGAGGCAUACACUCAUGAACAUGAGAAACAUUAUUUGGUUGUAUAUAGCUUUGAUGGUCCUAGAAAGAUCAGGUUUGAUAAACUCAGUGUGUGUUGUUUGGCACAGAACAGAAAUUCUUUUUAAAAAAAUAACUCUUAUGAGAGAUCUGACCAAAUUAAGGCAGGCUUUUAAUCGGUCAUGUGCUCUUAAUGGACAACAUAUCCUUUCAUUACUGUCAUUUAAUGCAUUUACAAAUGCUUUUUGUCCCUCUCUCUCAGUCAGUAUUCACCAGUCAAGACUGCAAUGCUUUAUCAGGUAACUCAGCACUUAGGAGUUCUAUAAAGAUGUGAACAGUAGGAUGUAAAAACAACUACUGGAAAAUUUGAAAUAGAAGAUGGGGUGGGGAGGAGAUCUACUGUGAGCCAAUUUCCACUCACAAAUUGAAAGGCAGUGUGAUCCUCAUUCUGAAGGAGUCAUUGAUUAAAUGUCUCAGUGCCACACUACUAGUGAAUUUACCUGUUCCACAGACUGUAUGAAUUUUUUCUUCUGUGAAUUUUCUGUUUGUGAAAAAUAUUACUCUAGAAGAUUUUAUGUCAAUGCAUUUCAACAUUAUUUUGUUCAAAUUUCACUACACAACUAAAAGGGAUCUUAUUACCCACAUCACAGCUCCUAAUGAAAGGCCUAGCAUGUCAAAAACACAGCCCAACAUGGCCAUUUUCUUUUGUUGGAUUUGUUCAAUUAUACAUAUGAUGAUUUAAAAAAUUGUCGAUGAAUCUGGGUGCUAAUAAAACUACAUUAUGUGACUUUAAAACACCAGUGUCCACUUACAGGACUUGAAGAGUGUAUUUAUGCUGUAGAUACUCUUUAGUGUGUCCUCUUGACUACUAUACUUCUAAUUCCUGCUCUGUUCAUUUCAAUGCAUUAUUGUUUCAGAAUACAAUGCUCCAAAUUGCAAAUUACAUCUGGCUCAAGGGCUGAUCAUGAGAAACACUUGCACUGCUGCCUCUGCCUGAAUAACUCUGAUAAUAAUGAGAGAUUGAUUGAGCUCCAAGCAACCUACAUGAUGAGAAGGGUCAAUCUGAAUAUUUCUAUUAGCUUCUUUUGUUAAACCUAACACUUUGCCAGGUCAGAGGCAAAUAAUCAUACCACAUCUGGUUAGCAUGAUUUUAUCUUUCCUAAAGAAGCAGUACAAUUUAGAAAAUUGGUACUGGUCCAAAGGCAUACCCCAUAAGAAAUGGUAAUGAGAUAUGCAUCAUAAAACCCCAUCCAUUCAU